UGCACUUUGGCCUGCCCCACGACACAAGCCGGGAUGGCCAGUCCACCUCCAAACUCACCAACGUCAAUGUGGGGACCCUCUGCCAACAGCAUGGGGCAGAGGGGAAAGGCCCAGGCUCUGGGGCAGACACAUUUGGGUUCGAAUCCUGGCUCCGCCAGCCACCAGCAGGUCACCUGGGACAUGUCUUCUCACCACCUCUCUGAGCUUUACUUUCUGUCCUAGACCCACACAGUGGAAAGUGGGGGUACCAAGACUUCAUCGGAUCGGGGUACAGAUUACAUAAAAUGAUGCAAGGCUCGGUCCUGAGCAGAAAGAGCCUGGCACUACCGGAUACUCAAUAUUUGCCAAAUAAAUGACCAAGUCUCCAAAGAUGUAUGCCUUCCGCCAUGUCUCCUUCCGGGGCACAGAAGUGGUGCCUUUACCCCGCCUCACCCCCCUACCUGUCCACCAGGCCAGAGCCGCCCGAGAUCCCAGCCCUGGUGAGUCAGCAGCGCUGCAGACUUUGGAACCAUCAGGAAGGGGGUGGGGGCCCUCAAGGGAAGUCACAGUCAGGGGCCGCAGGUCUCCCCAGACCUCUGCUUCCCUGCUCCUCCAGCAGUGGAAUGAAAGGAUACUGCGCUCCACAAAGCUCUCCUAUAAGCCCUGGUGGGUGCCAGCCUUGUUCCUGGGCCCCCUGCAGGGGCUCUGAGGCCAAGACUCCGCCAUCAACACCCCCAGACUCCCGCUACCAUGGGAGGGAACCUGCCCAAACCUCGCCACUCAACCCUUCCUAUAAACACCCACACCCUUGAGAGAAGGGUUGUGGUUGACACCCCACCUCUUGUCCCAAACCACCACAAACCCCCCUCCACCCAGGGCCUCCAGAAAGCGGCCCAUGAACCUGCCCCUUCCUCCUAGUCAUCUCUCCCUUCACCUAUGGCUGGCGGCUCUGGGUAAUAAGUAAACCACCCACCCUUGAAGGCUAGAGUUCUGAUAAUUAGGAAUUAUUAAACCUACCCAUUUUUUAAUAAGUUGCUCAGGAUGACCUGAUGGUUAAACUGUAAACCUCUUUACUAAUUAAA